UUUGGAGAAGACGAUGAUGGCGUCGGACCGUCGGUUACUUCGUGUCAUGAAAGGGCAUUUUUGUUCACAAAUACCCUCUUAUUUUACGCUAUAGCGACUGCUUAGUUUUGGCAAUUAUAACUCAAUGGACGGGGGGAAAGGAUUCUGUACUAAAGAGAAAAAUACGUGCAGUCAUUGACUUAAUACUGUGAUGUUUAUAUUUUGAAAGACGGCCGGAAAUUUCGCUACAUGAUACAUCGCUGUACUGGAUUAUAAAAAAUUCUACUGGAAAUUCGACAAUGGAUAUAACAGAGACCACGCUUGAAUGAAAGAAUGGUAAGUUUUUUUAAAGCGUUUUCACUUUUCCGUAAUAUUUUUUAGUUCACUGUAAAGCUCUUCAGCCUCUUCUCUCGAAGCCAAUACUUCGGUAGACUGGUAGAGUCAGCACGCAAUUGUGGCUAGCCUUGUUUUAUACAUCUCGUUGCUUCCCAUUUCACAUCUCUACGUAUAAAAUCACAUGCCUAUAAGUAGUUUUUCUUUGUUUAUAGAAUUUAAUAUACGACUUUGGAACAAAUUAAUUUAAUUAGAGAUGCUGUAUUUAAAAGUCCGUAUUAAAUGUAUAAUUAUGUAAACAAAAUGGAACGCUUUGUUUACAUUUUGAACUGCUAUAUAGCGUAUAUUUGUAAAAUAUGAUAUACAACUGAAUAUCUAUAAACACAUUUCUGGUUUGCUAUGCAUGUAAAUGAAUUAUAUAUUCAAAAAAGUUCGAAAGACGAAAGAUUCAAAAUUUGGGUACUGUUUAUAUCUGUGGGACUUCCCAUUAUAUUUUUGUAUCUGCGAAGCAGAUAUAUAUGCUAUCGCAAACGUACCGUACUGUUACCGUACCGUACCGUACCGUACCGUAUGUUAACAGAUAGCCAUUCAGCGACGAGCUUAUAUAAUUUAAGACAAUUUAAGCCAAUCAGUGAUUCGUUUACAUCGAUUGUUUACAUCGUGCCCGCAUCUAACCUGCGAACGGGCAUACUUUAGCCUCGUCAGGCCUCGUGUAUAAAUCGUGUUAUAUUCUUUCAAAAAUAUCUUGAUAUUUUUAUCAAUUUAUCUUGAAUUGGCUGUCUUUUUUUUAUUCCGAAGUUAUUUAUCAACAUGGAAUCUUAUCCUCAUCUGGUAAGUAGUCAAAUACCACAUAUUAUAUAUUUAAAUACCAAAUUUGUGCAAAUAUAUGUCCCACAUAUUUUACAAUAUAUGAGUUCGCCAGUUCGGCAAAUAUUUACUAUACUAUCUAUAGUUAAAUAUUGCCGUAUCUUCGGCGUAGAGUUUACAUGGAAUGCACUCUGGAAUUUUUUAUUAAUAUAUUACACUGUAUAAAAUAUUGGAUAUUUUCGAGGAUAUUUUAAGCCAUUUAUCAACAUAGUUCACAAAAAGAUUUAUACAGUAUUAAAAACAAUCCUUCUGUGACUUCUGUAAUAUUUUAAACAGUGAAAACAUUCUCAGGAGAUAUUGAAUUAAAUCCUGGUCCUGUAUUUCUGUAUAUUGACUACUCCAUAACUCUGUUCAAAACAACAGUCCAACUAUAAAGCUGUCAUCAAAUGUAGUGUUAGAGCAAAGGUUGAAGAUGUUAUCAGUUAAAAUACUUAUGCAUUUUGGUUUUACACAUUAGAGUUAAUUAAACAAAAUUUUUACAAACAUUUUCAAAUAAAAGAAUCCUCACCCUCCCGAGCCUCAUUACAUUGUCAUUUUGCUUUCUAACAUAAAUAUUUUUCUUUAGAGAUUAAUACAAGAAUGAAGAAUGAAUGUGCUGGAUAUUGGCUGGAUAAUUUUGUCAGAACAACCAACUUGCAAGACAAUCUUACCUAAAUUCAUUGUUAUGGAAAAAAACUUAACAGCUACAAUGAGUAAUCAUAUAUAUUAUAUGGUGGAUUUGAUCAAUGGCACACAAUGUACAAAACUAAACUUGUGAUACCUUCUACUCAAACCGAUAAUCUCCCACAACACGAUUGUUUUUGUGUGAAUGUGUUGUACGUGUUAAGCCGAACAGUGUGGUAUAUCAUUAACUGUGCACAGAACUGGAAUUUAAUUAUACACUUCACUCAUGACCUUCAAAACAUUCUCAAUUAUUCAGUGGUCUUCGACAUGUUCACCAAAUAUUUUGUGUAUGUUACUCAACAGUUAACAUUGGCAAGUGUAAACAACAAGUGACAUAACUUUUGCUUCAUAUGAUUACAAUAAAGUUUUGAAAAUUUGAUGAGUAUGGAUUGAAUUGACAGGUGACAGUUUACUAAAUAGCUGGCUGUAUAGACACUUUGAAUAUUGUUUGCAUGAAAUUUUUAUUUCCUGACUGCAUAAUUAUCUGUUACAAUCAUAAUCACAUUAUAAAGUUAGUUAAAUUUUCUCGGUGGGGGGGUGGGGGGGGGUGGUUGUGGUUGUACUUGCCCUGCUGCACUCCCCGCUGUGUACAGCCCUGUUUUAAAUCUUAUCUGCCAUUAUAAUAAGUGAUGAAAUAUUUCAAUUGUCCCAUGUCAUCUUCAUUAUUCAGUUUCUUUCAAGAAAAUACAAAAUGUGAAUCAAGUUUUUUCGCAGAUACAUGUACGCGGUCGCGUACCUAUUUUUAUUUCUUUCUGUGCAAAUUUUUGUCUUGUUAAGUCCUGAUUCCACGGGCGCUUUUUCUUGGCGAAAUGCGAAAUAUUUCGCCUGUUUCUUUUGAAUUGUGAUCAAUCAAGUAGAAAUAAUUUAUUCGAGUAGUCGCAAUUCAAAAGAAACAGGCGAAAUAUUUCGCAUUUCGCCGAGAAAAAGCGCUCGUGGAAUCAGGCCUUUAUGUUUCAAAUAUGUAAUAUUAAAUGAUAAUUUAAAGUCACCAAACAUGACAAAAUACUUUUCUUUAUGUAAAGUCUGAUCUGUGCAUCAGUUCUGCUUAUGAGCAGAACUGAUGCACUUUAUUUAUUUACUUUGCCAUUAUCAUGCAUUCAUGCCAGGAUCACCACAACAGUAUGGUACCAAUUACUGUGGGCCCUUUGAAUAGAUAAUAAAACACAACAAAAACUUCAAUUUACCUGUUCUAUUUGCAUUUAAGCACAAACCGCAAACAUUUUCGCGCGUUUUUUAUGUUUGAAAAUGGGGUGUUUAUCGUUGGAAACUGAAAUGUGUAUUCACCUCUCAUGUGACGUGUCACAGUGAAAAGCCUUCAGCUAUUUUUGGUGCAGCUGUCAUGUUUUGAUGUGCCUCCGUGCAUGUUUCAAUAUUUCCAAGCCCAUGAUACUAUGUUGUAUAGUCACAAAAAGUAUGAAUGUAAACAAGUUUGGUCGCUCUUACAAUAUUGUGAGCUUGGAAUGAAAAAUAACUGAAUUAGGCUUUGCACUGUAACAUUUCACGGUGAAUACAACUGAAAUCAGUUUUCAAUGGUAAAUGCCCUGUUUCAAACGUAAAAAAAUGUUUGUGGUUUGUGCUUGAAUGCAAAUAGCUGUAAGCAAACAAAUUCCUUGAUGUUUCCAUUGUAUUGUAUUUCACAAACAUACUUCAUUAGCGGCUUGCAAAUUUUAUAAAACAUAUAACAAUUCAUCAAAAUAUCAAAGCUCAGUGCAUGGGUUCUAUAACAAUGUCUUGAAAUCACUGAUCUCUUUAUGUACAGUAUAAACAAGGCUAGGAAGACCUGACAACAUAAAAAUACAAACUAUCAUUACAGUCAAAUCCGGCAUUCUAUUGCCACGCAAUAUUGCAAUAUUGAUUAGCUGAUUGCUCUAGCAAAUUGCAAGUUUUACAUACAGUUGCAAUUAUUGGGUGUGUUGCCAAUUUGUCGAGAGGUGUGCCCAAGUGUCAGAUGCCUUGUUUUGUACCGGUAAGCCAUGCAAUCAGGCUUUACAUGUAUUUACAAUUUGCUAGAGCAAUCAGCCAAUCAAUAUUGCAAUACUGUGCUGCAAAUAUGUUGCCCGCAACGGCACACCAAAUUUGACUGUAAUUGAUAAGAGGAAUCGUUUCCAACAAUUUUCAGAAAUUUUGAAUGAGUAGUUUGAGGCGGUUUUUGAUUUUUUUAAAUAUUUCCUGAGGUCUCCUUUGCUAAGCCUAGGGUACCUGUGGUCCCUUUGCAUUUUACUGAAAAUUUACCCAUUCAGCUUAGUGCUUGGGCAUUCAAAUUCUAACAAUACAUGACACCCUGUAUAUCUCAUUUUGUUGAACUGAAUAUAUUAAUGAAUUGGCCUAUUGUAGCAUGUGUAUUAAGCUUUUGAGCAAUAGCAAUCACGUUUCAAUACAGAAACCAUGCAAUUCAAAAGAUGGGUGCAAACACAAUAUUGUUUCCUGAUGUGCAGACUGACUUUUCCCCCCUUUAAAGUCAGGCUGCAUGCAGGCUAGUAAUUCUUUUGAUGAGAGGAAAUGUUUUCUUCAAUUUUCAGAAAUUUUGGUCUAGUUUGAGGCAGUUUUUUAGUGUUUUUGAAAUAUUUCCUGUGGUCCCGCCUUUGCUAAGCCGUAAAGGUAGCAAUUGUGGCCCCCCUUUGCAUUUGAAAAAUUUCCUGACAUGUGUUGCACCUUUCUUAAGUCUAUGGUACCUGUGGUCCCCUUUCCAUUUGACCAAAAUUUUUGUAAAACUUGUUUUCAUUGAUCAAAAGUAAUUCUUUUGAUGAAAGGAAAUGUUUUCGACAAUUUUCAGAAAGUUUGGACUAGUUUGAAUUAGUUUUGGUAUUUUUGAAAAAUUUCCUGUGGUUCCCCCUUUGCCAUGCCUAAGGGAAGGUCAAGUUUUAAGUGGUAAUGGACGACCCUACUUUUUCAUUUUACUUUGUCUAAUGGCAGACAGUUUUACUUGUCAAAUGGAGAGUGCUGACUGCUGACACUCAAUGGGUUAAUCUGCCCAUGCAUCGAUCUUGUUUUAAUUCUUUAUUAAAGUUGGAAAGCGCCAUUCUUUAUUAUUUUACUCUGUCUAAUGACAGAUGAUUUUACUUGUCAAGUGAAGGGUGUUGACACACAUCGGUUAAGAUAUAGAUUCAUCUGUACACUCAAAUUAGUUUGCAUGGAAAAUGUCUAUUCCCAUAUUGAUUAAAUUUUCAAAUUUUAUCCUAGCUAAAUCACUUCAAACAAAACAUGUUGUACAAAAUUUAAAAAUCUCUAUGAAAUACGAAGAGGGGGCCACAGGCAUCCACACAGAUUUAAAAUUUUUCAAACCAUUGAUUCAAUCUAAGGUGUCAUAUGAACUGAAUAUAAUGUUUUCUUUUCCAGGCAAGACAGAUCAACAUGGAUAAUGUUUUGAUGCUUUAUGAAAGUGACAUGUUUUCUAAGAACAGAUUUGUGCAUGGCAAGAAAAGAAAGCUUAUCAUUCAGACAUUAUGAGAAGCCCUAAGAAUGUGAACAUAUAAGAUAAUGAAUGGAGGACAUCAAUCUGAGGCAUGGAGAACUAAAACCUAACAAACCUUACCAGAUUAGGUAUUAUACAAACUAUAACUUUAUUUCUGUAUAUGAUAAUUAAUGCAUUUAUUUACCAUAUUUCAAAUAAAAAGUGGAAAAUCAGC
rnacentral:lncRNA from 1 species